rnacentral:rRNA from 1 species
UCGAGAAUCAUUCGCAAUGGGCGAAAGCCUGACGAUGCGACGCCGUGUGAGCGAUGAAGGCCUUCGGGUCGUAAAGCUCUUUCGCCUGGGAACAAGAAAGGCGGGUAAAUAAUCCGCUGAUUUGAGUGUACCAGGUAAAGAAGCACCGGCUAACUCCGUGCCAGCAGCUGCGGUAAUACGGAGGGUGCAAGCAUUAAUCGGAUUUAUUGGGCGUAAAGGGCGCGUAGGCGGGGAUCAAAGUCAGGUGUGAAAUUUUUGGGCUCAACCCAAAAACAGCACUUGAAACUUGAUUUCUAAGAGGGUAGGCGGAGAAAAUGGAAUUCCACAUGUAGCGGUGAAAUGCGUAGAUAUGUGGAAGAACACCAGUGGCGAAGGCGGUUUUCUAGCUUACACCUGACGCUGAGGCGCGAAAGCAAGGGGAUCAAACAGG